UACGUAGGCAGCAAGCGUUGUUCGGAGUUACUGGGCGUAAAGCGCGCGCAGGCGGUUUCUCAAGUCAGUGGUGAAAGCUCGGAGCUCAACUCCGGAACUGCCAUUGAAACUGUGAAACUUGAGGACGAGAGAGGUGAGUGGAAUUUCCAGUGUAGAGGUGAAAUUCGUAGAUAUUGGAAAGAACACCAGUGGCGAAGGCGGCUCACUGGCCCGUUUCUGACGCUCAGGCGCGAAAGCGUGGGGAUCAAACAGG
rnacentral:rRNA from 1 species